GAACAUGUAGGAUUUUUAAGAUUUAAAGAGAUUGGAGACAAUAGUUAAUGAAUAUUAAAAGAAUACGAAGCAGAUGAUGAAAAAUGAUUCGAGCAAAUUAGUGCAACACAGAGCUAAGCGAGAUAAAAAUAUCAAUCAAUGCAGAAUGAAAGAAGAAUGAGCAGGGUUAAGUUAUUACACAAGCCAAAACUAAGACAAAUCAAACGACAGAACGUGAAAACAAAUGUAAACAAGACAAGAGGAGAUGGUGAAGAUAAAAUGCAUUGAAAAAUUGAAUGCUAGAUUAGUAAGCAAGAGACAAAAAUAUAUUAAAAUGCAAAAACUCCGCGCCUUGGAUUAUUCCUGAGGCGACACGUCAGCGGUCUGUGGAUCCCACUUUUAAAAAGUGUGAAAAUUGUCAAGACUGUUGCUCGAACCCGGGUUAUUGAGAUAUAAACACCACCAUUUAUACCACUAAACUAAAUGAUACUUUGUACAUUGCUGGCCGAAACUAAUAUAUAUUUAUGAUAGGAGAGUUUACUCUGUACACGUAUGAUUUCGGUUUAAGUUCCAUAAAAAGCCCAAGUCAGGUGUAAGGCGAUUUGGCCAAUGUUUAGUUAUAUGGCCUAUUUUGAAAAAAAGUCUGACGUUUUAUGUUUUUGUCGAGGAAAAUGUGCCGUUUUUUAUUCAUUAAACGAGUAACGAAUAGGUUUUCAGAGGUUUCUUCUUCAUCGACCCUUCAAUCUCACCAGCCCUGCUGCUUUUCCUAAUCCUGUGAAAAAACGAGUCUUAAUCAACUCGUUACCUUCCAACUCUUUUCAUAUCUAUUAAUUAUUUUCCCUGUAUUCAACGUAUACCUCUUAAAUUUUAGAAUAAAUGUUUUUCUUUCAUUGAAGCCAUUUACUUAAACUCUCCUUCUCCCUUUCUGAUACAAUGAAACCGAAAAAUUCACUUCAACCCUUAUAAAUUGGAGAAGGUUGAUAGCCGGAUGGAUCUUCACAGACGUUCUCAGUUUAUCUUCUAUCUUCAAUUGGAGAGGGAGCUGCUCAUCUUCAAUUGAGCAUGAUUAGACAAAUGUUCAAGCACUGCUUCUAACUUUUCUCCUACGCUCACACCCAUCACAUUUUCAUUAGUUUUUUUCUCCUGCACUUAUGAGUUUUGUAUUGUUUUAAUGUCAGUACUGAUCGUUAUGUUGGACAUGGCUAUGAUAACCGAGACCUGGAAGCCUGCUUUGACGAUAUCAUGAAGGAAGAGAGACGAAGUGCGAGAAUCGCAAGGGAGGAAGAUGAAAUGGAAGCAAAGCUGAUCGCAGAAGAAGAAGAGCGAGAGAGACAGAGAAAGUUGCUGAAGCUGAGGCGUAAGAAAGUUAGAAGAAAGAAACCUUUUGAUCAUCUUUGUCUUCUUUUUUAAAUAUAUGACAAGUUUAAUCUUUAGUGCUUCUCUCAUUCAAAUCUCUUUGGAGAAUAGUGUGUUCUUGAAACUGUACAAUUAGAUAAUAAUUAUAUUUAUUAAGUCACUCGAGUAAUCUGUUGGUGACCUUCCAAGUUGGUGAAAGCCUGAUUAUUUUCUAUGUGUAAAACCAGAGAAUGAAAAGAGAAAAGAAUAUAUCUUUAUUCA